UCUGGGCGCAGUGGUGCAUGCCUGUAGUCCCAGCUACUCGGGAGGCUGAGGUGGGAAGAUCGCUUGAGCCCAGGAGUUCUGGGCUGUAGUGCACUAUGCUGAUAGGGUGUCCACAAUAAGUUCAGCAUCAAUAUGGUUAUCUCCUGGGAGCGUGGGCCACCAGGUUGCCUAAGGAGGGGUGAAGCUGCCCAGGUCGGAAACGGAGCAGGUCAAAACUCCGGUGCUGAUCAGUAGUGGGAUCACGCCUGUGAAUAGCCACUGCACUCCAGCCUGGGCAACAUAGCAAGACCCCGUCUUU
rnacentral:SRP_RNA from 1 species